rnacentral:snRNA from 1 species
UGUGGUAUGAGACUACGGCGGCGAGGCCGUAACAUCGGAACGAUACGGAGGAAAUUAGCAUGGCCCCUGCGCAAGGAUGACACGCAAAAUCGUGAAGCCUUCCAUAUUUGU